rnacentral:rRNA from 1 species
UACGGGGGAGGCAAGCGUUAUCCGGAAUUAUUGGGCGUAAAGCGUCCGUAGGUGGCUAGUCAAGUCUGCGGUCAAAGACUGGGGCUUAACCCUGGAAAGGCCGUGGAAACUGACGAGCUAGAGUGCAGUAGGGGUAGAGGGAAUUCCCGGUGUAGCGGUGAAAUGCGUAGAGCUCGGGAAGAACAUCGGUGGCGAAAGCGCUCUACUGGACUGCAACUGACACUCAGGGACGAAAGCUAGGGGAGCGAAUGGG